UUUAAAACGUGGACGUUUAAACUAGCGCCGUGGGGAGGGACAGUCAGCUGUAAACGCCAGCAGCAGCUUUCACCGAGGACUUCACUGGAGGUCAGUGCUAAUUAGCCGUUGUGGCUACUGCUUCGGACGGGGAGCGACUCCGCCGCCGGACCUGCGUUGCCACACAGACGGAUUGCUUGCUAAACCUUGCCUGCAGCUGUCUCAUCAGCCCAGCUCGUCGCGGAUCGGAUGUGAAGACUCCAUAAAGAGUCAUCGGGGAGAUGUCACUGCCUGUUCCCAUCCUCUGGCAUUAAAACCUCCUCCGUUGCAGCAAAAGACAAGAAGUUGCGGACAAGCUCUUGCUGCCCGCAUGACCACUGGAAUACCAAAUAACCGUGAAUGGAGGCAGCAGUGCCACUUUCCACUGGCAAGAGAGACAAGGUUCAGCACCAUGUGACGAGAAUACAAACAACAGCCCGGGUCCUUCACAGAUUGAGAAAACACUCCCGUGGUUUUCGGAUGUGGGGCUGCAGGAUAUUUAGAUGAUUCACAUGACAAGCUGCAGGGUGUAUUAAAGGACCAGUACGUUUUUCUGCCCCAUAGCAGAACAUGACCAUGAAAUAUCCAUUGAUGGUUGAUGGGGUUGUUGAUCAAUACCGAUGACCGCAAAUUACUGGCACUGAGGUUUUUGUCUUUCACCUGAGUGUCAAGGUUUGCCAGAUUUGUUUUGUGGAAGUUCUUGCAGAGUUGUUUGAAGUCUUUCUAGCACGAGACAGAUCAGUAAAGGUCAUAGAGGACUAAAUGUCCCUAAAAACAUUAAACAAUAGACGUCAUCAAACACCAUACUGUAAAUUCUCAAAAAUUCUUGAAGCCCAUUUGUGUGGCUCACACGAGCCAAUAAAGGUUUGUCCCUAAUAAAGACCGGUU